UGCGUAGGGUGCGAGCGUUGUCCGGAAUUACUGGGCGUAAAGAGCUCGUAGGUGGUUUGUCGCGUUGUCCGUGAAAACUCACAACUCAAUUGUGGGCGUGCGGGCGAUACGGGCAGACUGGAGUACUGCAGGGGAGACUGGAAUUCCUGGUGUAGCGGUGGAAUGCGCAGAUAUCAGGAGGAACACCGGUGGCGAAGGCGGAUCUCUGGGCCAUUACUGACGCUGAGGAGCGAAAGCGUGGGGAGCGAACAGG
rnacentral:rRNA from 1 species